rnacentral:rRNA from 1 species
AACUGGGCCGGUUGGUCAAGCUUUACGGUUUGCACUGAUCUGGCCUGGUUUUUCUUUCUGGGGAAACGUCGUGCUCUUAAGUGGGUGCGGCGGGGAGCCAGGACUUUUACUUUGAAAAAAUUAGAGUGUUUAAAGCGGGCAUGAUUUGCUUGAAUAGAUUAGCAUGGAAUAAUAGAAUAGGACUUUGGUUCUAUUUUGUUGGUUUCUAGGACCGAAGUA